rnacentral:snoRNA from 14 species
UUUGGGAAAUGAUGAUAAUAAUGCUGACAGAAGCACUAGCUCUGCUGAAUUAUAUUAUUUGCACGUCAGUCUGAUCCUAAA